UACGUAGGGACCAAGCGUUGUUCGGAUUUACUGGGCGUAAAGGGCGCGUAGGCGGGCUGCCGCGUCCGGGGUGAAAGCCCCCCGCUCAACGGGGGAACGGCCUCGGAUACGGGCGAUCUCGAGGGGGGUAGGGGCACCUGGAACUGUGGGUGGAGCGGUGAAAUGCGUUGAUAUCCACAGGAACUCCGGUGGCGAAGGCGAGGUGCUGGACCCCAUCUGACGCUGAGGCGCGAAAGCCAGGGGAGCGAACGGG
rnacentral:rRNA from 1 species